CUCUAGGAACGUCCCCCAGCAGAACUCAUAAAGCAGAUCCCUCAGUUGCUCUGGAGAUGGAUGGUGGAGGGAAGAGGCCAUAUGAUGUGGUCUUCAAAAGCACGAAAACACACUAAUUCUGUGUUCUUAGACAACAGGGAAGAGCCAACAUAGGAGAUGUUCAGGCAUGGCAAGUUGAAAGCACAGUGUUAUCUCAUCUUCUGGGAAGUUGAUGUGAAAUCUUUGCUCUCUUGCAGGAGUGCUGGAAAGAGCAGAUUCGUGGGUGUGCCUGGACUGGUGGAAGAGUUGCUAGAGAAGUUACAAAGAUCAAAAGUUUGUUCUUCUGCACCAAAGUUCGAUUUGUUGGAUGGUGUAACCAAAAGAAACACACUCUACAUUUUUAUGUCCUUAAACAUCCCAUGAUGAUUGUGUUGAUGCCCAGUUCAGUCCUGAUGGCGUUGGCACUGUCUCGCCCCUUCCUAACAGCAGAUGGGCCUGGAGCUUGCUCCUGGACUGGGGGCUCUGUUGAGCUUCUCCCUGAGGAGAGGACUGUGGGGGCUGCCUGUCACUCUGCAAGACUCACACCUCUGCUGUGAGUUUCCCUUCCAAACUGGCUAAACAUCCGUGACCAUGCCUAACGAAUUUUAAUAGGAAUUAGAGCCACGAAGAUGAUCUGAGGGCUGGAGCACCUCCCAUACAAGAGCAGUCUGGGAGAGUUAGGGUUGUUCAGCCUGGAGAAGAGAGGGCUGCAGGGAGACCUUAGAGCAGCUUCCAGCACUGCAAGGGGCUCCAGGAAAGCUGUGGAGGGGCUCUGGAUCAGGGACGGGCAGGGACAGGAUGAGGGGGAUCAGUCUUCAGCUGAAAGAGGGGACAUUGAGUUGGCGGGGCUGGAUUUACAGUUGGACUCAAUCACCUUAAAGGUGUUUUCCAACCUAAAUGAUUCUGUGAAACAGAGCGCAACAAGCUCUCGGACGGCGUAGCCACGGGGCUUGAUUUCUGGCUUGGGUUGGGCAGCACCAGAAUGGGUGUAAUCCUCCUCGCCCUACAGUAUUCUGCCCUCUACUCUCUCUUUUUUCUCUUCUUUCACUUCUCUUAUCUUCACUUCUACCUUGUACAAGGUGCUCUGCAAAAGGGAGAGGCCUGACCUGAGAAGAUGGCACCAUGGGCAAGGACCUUCCUGAUGUUCUUGAGAUAUCUGUGAAGCUAAGUACACCCAAGACUUUCCCUCCUACUCAGCGAAACCAGAGCCCCAUAAAUAGAGGAGCCCAAGAAGACAUCUCCGUCUCAGCUAAGGAUUCGUGUCAUAAACCCAGGCUCUGUGUCCUAGAGAUCUUCCACAGAAUCACUGCUCUAAGUUCUCCUCAGACUUCUCCAGGCUGAACAACCCCAACUCUCUCAGCCUGUCCUUGUACCUGAGGUUCUCCAGCCCUUGGAUCAUCUCCGUGGCCUCCUCUGGACUCACUCCAACAGCUCCAUGUCCUCCCUGUGCCGAGGACUCCAGAACUGGACCCAGGGCUCCAGGAGUGACCUAGUUGAGUUUACAGGAUCCUAAGCAUUUUGUCUGGAGCUAAAGCAAAUCCCAUUUAGGACCAAGAAAAUACAUCCUUUUGAAAGACCGAGCUAAAACAUUCACAGCUGAGACCUCUCCUCCCUCACUCCUAUUACCAUCCUUUGUCUUGGUGCAGCCUUUGAGCAGUGCCGAUGCCGUGGCUGAAUGCUACUCCUGGGCAUGCUGUUCCUCAGUGUCAGCAUCAGCUUUUUACCAUCGUGCCGUGGUGUGAGGUUCUUUGCCCCAUCUGUGCCAGGGUACAGAAGAUGACAAGUCAAUCCGAGCAUUCUCCUCUUUGCGCCAAGGUCGUGGGGCUGUGCAAUCCAGAUACCCUCAGCCAGCAGCCCUGCCCUGCUCCGGUGCCCUCACCUGGAGCCCUGCAUUCAGUUCUGGAGUCUUCAGCACAAGAAGGACCAUUUCGGACAACUGUCCCCAGCAAGAAGCCUCCCUCCAUCGUUCCAGAGCAGAGAAGCCCGUGCUGAAAGCAGCCUGGGAGCUGACGUGCCUCGCCAGGGCGUCCAUUUGUACAGUAUGUACAUUGCUGCCGUCUUCUUCUUUUGAAGAUAUUUUUUAAUGUCUUAAAAAAAAAAGAGAUUACUUUGUUACAAUCAUUCAGCAAAGGGUUUCUGUGCCUGUAGAAAAUAUUAAUAGACUAUUAUGAGGUCCUACAACUAAUUUUUCCACACAUAUCAUCUGUCUUUGCAUGGUUAUUAAACUCCAACAAUAUUUCAUGCAAUGCUUUCCUGCUAAAUUAAUUUGGU